GACGAACGCUGGCGGCGUGCUUAACACAUGCAAGUCGAACGGAAAGGCCCUGCUUUUGUGGGGUGCUCGAGUGGCGAACGGGUGAGUAACACGUGAGUAACCUGCCCUUGACUUUGGGAUAACUUCAGGAAACUGGGGCUAAUACCGGAUAGGAGCUCCUGCUGCAUGGUGGGGGUUGGAACGUUUCGGCGGUUGGGGAUGGACUCGCGGCUUAUCAGCUUGUUGGUGGGGUAGUGGCUUACCAAGGCUUUGACGGGUAGCCGGCCUGAGAGGGUGACCGGCCACCUUAGGCCUGAGAUACGGCCCAGACUCCUACGGGAGGCAGCAGUGGGGAGUAUUGCACAGUGGGCGGGAGCCUGAUGCAGCAACGCCGCGUGCGGGAUGACGGCCUUCGGGCUGUAAACCGCUUUCGCCUGUGACGAAGCGUGAGUGACGGUAAUGGGUGAAGAAGCACCGGCUAACUACGUG
rnacentral:rRNA from 1 species